CAGUCGCCGCGGGAAUACGAAGGGUGCAGGCGUUAAUCGGAAUUACUGGGCGUAAAGCGUGCGUAGGCGGUUUGUUAAAUCUGCUGUGAAAUCCCCGGGCUCAACCUGGGAAUGGCAGUGGAUACUGGCAAGCUAGAGUGUGUCAGAGGAUGGUGGAAUUCCCGGUGUAGCGGUGAAAUGCGUAGAGAUCGGGAGGAACAUCAGUGGCGAAGGCGGCCAUCUGGGACAACACUGACGCUGAGGCACGAAAGCGUGGGGAGCAAACAGGAUUAGAUACCCCGGUAGUCCCUGUCUCUUAUAC
rnacentral:rRNA from 1 species